rnacentral:rRNA from 1 species
GUGCCAGCCGCCGCGGUAAUUCAGAGGUCCCGAGCGUUGUUCGGAUUUACUGGGCGUAAAGGGAGCGUAGGCGGUUUGGUGUGUCGAAUGUGAAAGCCCACAACUCAACUGUGGAAUGGCAUUCGAAACUACUGAGCUAGAGUACUGGAGAGGAGAGCGGAAUUCUUGGUGUAGCGGUGAAAUGCGUAGAUAUCAAGAGGAACACCGGUGGCGAAGGCGGCUCUCUGGACAGAUACUGACGCUGAGGCUCUAAAGUUAGGGGAGCAAACAGGAUUAGAUACCCUGGUAGUCCUAACCAUAAACGGUGUACACUUGGUGUGCGAGGAAUUGUCCCUUUGCGCGCCGCAGCUAACGCGAUAAGUGUACCGCCUGGGGAGUACGGUCGCAAGAUUAAAACUCAAAUAAAUUGACGG